AUAGUACGAAUUACAUAGUGUAUCUGGUAGCCAUGCCUGAAUUUCUUUGGGAAUUCAGUGAAGCAUCGAUGUAACACCAGAUUAUUCUUGCAGUACUUCUUAUCUGGUGCAGACCAGAAACAGGUGCAGGUGGGCAGUUCGGCUGGGGCGGCACCCCUUUGAAAAGAUAUCAAAGGGGCCCAAAGUUUAGUUCAAACGGGUCAGAAAUCCGUUGAAGAGGGCAAAGCCAAAAACUAGACUGACUG
rnacentral:rRNA from 1 species